rnacentral:rRNA from 1 species
GAUGAACGCUGGCGGCGUGCCUAAUACAUGCAAGUCGAGCGAACAGACGAGGAGCUUGCUCCUCUGACGUUAGCGGCGGACGGGUGAGUAACACGUGGAUAACCUACCUAUAAGACUGGGAUAACUUCGGGAAACCGGAGCUAAUACCGGAUAAUAUAUUGAACCGCAUGGUUCAAUAGUGAAAGACGGUUUUGCUGUCACUUAUAGAUGGAUCCGCGCCGCAUUAGCUAGUUGGUAAGGUAACGGCUUACCAAGGCAACGAUGCGUAGCCGACCUGAGAGGGUGAUCGGCCACACUGGAACGGAGACAGGGUCCUGACUCCUACGGGAGGCAGCAGUAGGGAAUCUUCCGCAAUGGGCGAAAGCCUUACGGAGCAACGCCGCGUGAGUGAUGAAGGUCUUCCGAUCGUAAAGCUCUGUUAUUAGGGAAGAACAAAUGUGUAAGUAACUAUGCACGUCUUGACGGUACCUAAUCAGAAAGCCACGGCUAACUACGUG